rnacentral:lncRNA from 1 species
UUAUAUCUAUAGGUAAAUUAUGAAAUGAAGCUGAUUUCUGACCUCAAGGUAAAUUAUGGAAGGAAGGUGAUUUUUGCUGCAUGAAUCAUCACAUGAGCUCAAUCCGUCAAAGUAACUUCAGUUUGAGCCAUUCCAUUCCAAUUGGACAUGAGCUCAAACCAUCAAAGUUUGUAGUAUUAUUCCAUUCUUGUGGAAAUGUAGUCCCUGAAACUUGUAGUUCUUGUUUAAUUCUAUACCAUUGUAUUUGUAUUUAGGUAACAUGGAAUACGAC